rnacentral:lncRNA from 1 species
UAAAGGAUAAAGCAACAAUUAUGCAGAGAGCUCUGAAUCUGAUGCGUGACCAGAAGAUGACCUCCUUAAUCUUGGGCUAGUCAUAAUCAGCUGGCUUUCCGAGUUCAUUCUCAAACCACGCCCACGAGAUGUCAGUUGUGGAGGUUUACAACCUCCUUUUGCUGUCCCUGCAUGACCAAUAUCAAUGAGAACUUUACCUGGUUGUCUACUUAUUUUCAGAUCUGUGGGUUUCCUUGAGGGGCGUGGUUUUCUGUUCGUGUGGUCAGGUGAUGUUAAGAACUUCCUUUCAGUGGGUGAUGGUAAUGUGGAUGAUGGAAAUGGAUCAUCCAUUGAGUUGAUGUUUUCAUCCCCACUGACUGAAGCUUUAUCACUUCCUGAUUCUGAAGGUUCUUUCUGAGUUGCUCUUGUUUUUUCUUUCUCAUAAACUUUAUAAACAAAUAUCUGAAAUGGAAUUUGCGCUAUUGCAGAUGAAUUGGUUGCAUUCCAAGAUGGAAAUUCCUUUACAAGAUUUGACUCCAUGUCACCAUAGUCCAUUGCUGGCAUAAGUGGGUCUGGUUCUCUAUUAUAAUCAGGGUUCAUAGCAAGGAAACGUUUCGCAUAGCGAAGGAUUCUGCAG